UUGGGAGGCCGGGGCAGGAGGAUCACCUGAGCCUGGUAGGUCGAGGCUGCGGUGCGCUGUGAUGGUGCCACUAUAGUCCAGCCUGGGUGACAGAGCAAGACCCUGUUCCAAAAAAAAAAAAAAA